rnacentral:rRNA from 1 species
UACGGAGGGUGCAAGCGUUAAUCGGAAUUACUGGGCGUAAAGCGCACGUAGGUGGUUUGCUAAGUCAGCUGUGAAAUCCCCGGGCUCAACCUGGGCACUGCAGUUGAAACUGGCAAGCUAGAGUAGGGUAGAGGGGUGUGGAAUUCCAGGUGUAGCGGUGAAAUGCGUAGAUAUCUGGAGGAACACCGGUGGCGAAGGCGGCAUCCUGGACCGACACUGACGCUGAGGAGCGAAAGCCAGGGGAGCAAACGGG